UGGAGUUUCCAACGGAAAGGGCUCUCAA
rnacentral:piRNA from 1 species